CACUUAUCCAUGCAAUAGUAGGAAGAUAUAUGAUUGGUGGGCUGUAUGUAAAACUUAAGCUAGAAAUUCUUUUAAUAUCGCUUCAGCAAAUAUAGAUGAUGACAAUGUAUCCCGAAUAUUGAUGUGUAUCAAGAGGAUGAUAUCACAAACCCAUCUGUAGUUUAGGCUAAUGAAAAACUUGAUGCACCCAAUUUGCUAGUUAAUUUCUUUCAGUAUGAAAUGCUUGAUGAUGACGAGAUACAUAAGUUGCAACAAAGAUUAGAAGAAGCAAUGGUAGAAGAGGAAGAGGAUGAAGAAGAUGUUGGAAUUUGGGAUUUGGUGCAUGCAUGUGUGUUUCAAAACUUCUUUUUCUAAAUACCACAGUGGAGAAUAAGACUAAAAUAAAUUUAAUUUGAAUUAUGCAUGCAUAAAAAUAUAAAACCAUAUGGAUCUAUUUCACAUGCUGAAAUUAAUAUAUGCUGAAAUUUAGAUUGUGAUCAAAUCAUAUACCUGUUUCGCAAUUCUUUUCUUCAAAACUGAAUUUGAAAGAGAUGAGGCUCUCUGUUAGCCAUACAAGUAUCCAACCUCUAUAAGUAUCCACUCG
rnacentral:lncRNA from 1 species